rnacentral:lncRNA from 7 species
GCCCGGUCCCGCAGUCGUCUUCCCCGCUGGCACGACCGUGCGGCUAGGGCGCCACCGCCUCAGCCCGCUCUCGCCUGGCUGGCAAUCCGGACCGUUUGCCGCCCUCUCCCCUUCCUCGGAUCGGAAAUUGGCGCCUUCUCCUCUCCCUCUCCUCCCCACUCCCCUCUUCUCCGGGCAGUAACAGACGUCGUUAUGGCCAACGCCAUCAAUGGCGUUUUGAUUCCCGAUUGCCAUUGAUGACCGAUCGUUCUCCUCCUCCCUCGGUGUUCUCUCGGUUUCCCCUCUCUCUAUAAAAACCGCCGACCAGAGCUCUCUCUUCUCUCCCCUGCCCGAGCUCUCCCUCACCCGCGACCGCGCCACACCGCCGGAUGCCCACGAGCCCGCCGCCUCGCCGGAGCUCGAACCCUGCCUCCAGUCGACGCCAGAGUCACUCGCCAAUCCUCACUGCCUCGCCGUCCGCCUUGCUCUUGCUCGGCCGUCGCGCUCCCCCUCGACGAGCCCCUCCCUGCACACUAACUAGCCCGAG